rnacentral:rRNA from 1 species
GAUGAACGCUGGCGGCGUGCCUAAUACAUGCAAGUAGAACGCUGAAGCUUGGUGCUUGCACCGAGCGGAUGAGUUGCGAACGGGUGAGUAACGCGUAGGUAACCUGCCUCUUAGCGGGGGAUAACUAUUGGAAACGAUAGCUAAUACCGCAUAAAAGACGAUAUCGCAUGAUAUUGAUUUGAAAGGUGCAAUUGCAUCACUAAGAGAUGGACCUGCGUUGUAUUAGCUAGUUGGUGAGGUAACGGCUCACCAAGGCGACGAUACAUAGCCGACCUGAGAGGGUGAUCGGCCACACUGGGACUGAGACACGGCCCAGACUCCUACGGGAGGCGGCAGUAGGGAAUCUUCGGCAAUGGGGGCAACCCUGACCGAGCAACGCCGCGUGAGUGAAGAAGGUUUUCGGAUCGUAAAGCUCUGUUGUAAGAGAAGAACGAGUGUGAGAGUGGAAAGUUCACACUGUGACGGUAACUUACCAGAAAGGGACGGCUAACUACGUGCCAGCAGCCGCGGUAAUACGUAGGUCCCGGGCGUUAUCCGGAUUUAUUGGGCGUAAAGCGAGCGCAGGCGGUUAGAUAAGUCUGAAGUUAAAGGCUGUGGCUUAACCAUAGUACGCUUUGGAAACUGUUUAACUUGAGUGCAGAAGGGGAGAGUGGAAUUCCAUGUGUAGCGGUGAAAUGCGUAGAUAUAUGGAGGAACACCGGUGGCGAAAGCGGCUCUCUGGUCUGUAACUGACGCUGAGGCUCGAAAGCGUGGGGAGCAAACAGG